AUUGAACGCUGGCGGCAUGCCUUACACAUGCAAGUCGAACAGCAGCACGGGAGCAAUCCUGGUGGCGAGUGGCGAACGGGUGAGUAAAGUAUCGGAACGUGCCCAGUCGUGGGGGAUAACGUAGCGAAAGUUACGCUAAUACCGCAUACGAUCUAUGGAUGAAAGCGGGGGAUCGCAAGACCUCGCGCGAUUGGAGCGGCCGAUAUCAGAUUAGGUAGUUGGUGGGGUAAAGGCUCACCAAGCCGACGAUCUGUAGCUGGUCUGAGAGGACGACCAGCCACACUGGGACUGAGACACGGCCCAGACUCCUACGGGAGGCAGCAGUGGGGAAUUUUGGACAAUGGGCGAAAGCCUGAUCCAGCCAUGCCGCGUGCAGGAUGAAGGCCUCCGGGUUGUAAACUGCUUUUGUACGGAACGAAAAGGUUUGGGCUAAUAAGCUGAGCUCAUGACGGUACCGUAAGAAUAAGCACCGGCUAACUACGUGCCAGCCGCCGCAGUAA
rnacentral:rRNA from 1 species